rnacentral:rRNA from 1 species
GAUGAACGCUGGCGGCGUGCCUAAUACAUGCAAGUCGAGCGAACGGACGCGAAGCUUGCUUCGCUGACGUUAGCGGCGGACGGGUGAGUAACACGUGGAUAACCUACCUAUAAGACUGGUAUCAUUUCGGGAAACCGGAGCUAAUACCGGAUAAUAUUCUGCACCGCAUGGUUCAAAAGUGAAAGUCGGUCUUGCUGGAUGUUCUAGCUGGAUCCGCGCUUCAUUAUCUAGUUGGUAAGUUAACGGCUUACCAAGGCUACGAUGCAUAGCCGACCUGAGAGGGUGAUCGGCCACACUGGAACUGAGACACGGUCCAGACUCCUACGGGAGGCAGCAGUAGGGAAUCUUCCGCAAUGGGCGAAAGCCUGACGGAGCAACGCCGCGUGAGUGAUGAAGGUCUUCGGAUCGUAAAACUCUGUUAUUAGGGAAGAACAUAUGUGUAAGUAACUGUGCACAUCUUGACGGUACCUAAUCAGAAAGCCACGGCUAACUACGUG